rnacentral:rRNA from 1 species
ACACAACCCAUCUUUCUUUAUUCUUCCCUUCCACUCUUCCUUUGAGUCUAAUCCCGUUUCUUCCCUCCUCCAACUCCCAACUUCCGCUCCCCCGCACUUCACAUCACCUUUGCUCCGGCUUUCUUGCCGCCCGCGGGCCGCCGUUGAACGCGAGAAGAAGGAAGAAGCCAAGCACUCCACGGAACCUCCCACCACAAGCCGAGAGAUUCCAGACGGAAGCUUUGGCUCCAAGAACCCGAGGGAGGAAUCCCAGGAGAGAAGCCAAGAAAGAAACAAGGAUAGUACUGGUACUAGUACUGUAGUAGCAGCCAGCCAUGGUGAGGAGCAAAGAGGUGCCCAAGAGGCCCAAGGACCCGCUCAUGACCCCUCCGUCCAAGCCCAGGGGAUUCAGGUACGACGACGACGGCGGCUUCGGCGGAAGCUUGCCGAGGAACCGCGGCGGCUCGGCCAUGUCCCCGGCGCCGGCCUCCGUGCCCAACUACAUGCGGGCCACCAGCAGCUCCGGCGCCAAGGCCGGGCCCGGCCGGCGCGCGGGGGCGGUGCCCUCGUCGGCGUCGCCCACGACCAGGCGGGGGCCGGCGCGGGCGGUCACGAUGGGGAGGGUGCUGUUCCCGACGCCGGAGGUGCCCGGCAUGGUCCGCGCCACGCCCACGUGCUCCUCCACCAUGAAGGAGGCGCUCGGCGACUUCUUCGUGGAGGUGUACGCCGGCCCGAGGGUGAGCUCCGACAUGAGCUGCAGCGACAUGUCCCUGGACGAGAUGGACGCCGCGGUGAGGAGGAUGGAGUUCGUCGUCUUCGACCGGUGCGGCGUGGGCGAGGACGACGAGAAGGGCGGCGAUCCUGCCGUUGGCGGUGACGGCGGCAGGAGGCCGGAGGAGGACAGGCUCGGUUUCUGCAGGGACAGUUCGUCGGAGUGCAGCGAUGACGCUGUCUCCGGUCCCAUCUCCGGCAACCUCGUGGAGGAGCUGCCCUGGAUGAGGUACGAGUGCGAUAGCCUGGAGGAUGAUGUUUCAGAGGAGCAUGUUCAGGAAGCAGAGGUUUCAGAGGGGCAACAAUGUAACGACGAAGAAGGCGGAUCGAGCGAUAAUCACGAAGAGGAGGCGGAUGAAGAACAGAAACCGGAACACGAGGAGAUCAUCUCCGAUCUGCCCCGUGAAACGGGGAUCGUCGCGGAGGAAGAGGGUGUCGAUUGCAGAUCUCCACUCCGCGAAGACAUCUCAAGCACAAUGGAUCAACAUGAGGCUUGCACAGUGCAAGAGACGCAACAUGAAGACGGUGAGGAGCGUGUCUCGGAUGUUGCCCACAAAAUGAAGAUCGCCGCGGCGCAAGCAUGUAUUGUUUGUGCAGCGGAGGUCUGCAAUGAGCAGGAAGAAGAAGAAGAUCAAGACAACAUCCUGGGCAAAGUGAUCCAAGGGGAUGCUUCUGAUGGACAAGGCACGUCAGCAGAGAAGCUCUCCAAUGGUGUGGACGAGUCGGAGAUUCCUCAGCAUGAACUAGACAUCCUGGGCAAAGUGGUCCAAGGGGAUAUUUCUGAUGGACAGGGCACAUCAGAAGAGCAGCUCUCCAAUGGUGUCUGUGAACCGGAGAUUCCUGAGAAUGAAGUAGCAGAAAGCGUGGAGAAUGUCGUCGAAGAGAGCCGGGAAGAGGAUGGUGUAGCAGAUCAGGGAACAAAGGAUGAUCAGAGCAACGUUGAAUCUACCGGCAACUUAGAAGUUACAGAGAAGCAGGACAUGCCGGAUCAUGAGUCUGAAAUGGAGAUUUCUGAGACUGUCCCCAGUGUUGCAUGCGAAGAGGAUUUCGUCGAGGAAGAAGUAACCUCCAGAGCUGUUUCAGAAGGUGAAAUUUCUGACUGCAGUGCUAUUGCUUCUCUGGAUGCUGAAAUCUCAACACCACCAACAGAGGGUGGCUUUGAACAAGAUGUGAACACGGUGGAAGACGCUUUUGAACAGUAUGACGGUGCCGUGAACAACUUUGUUGAUCAGUGUAUCCCUGCAGAAGACACAGUGGAUGUCACAGAAGAUGCUGAGAAGCAAAUUGAGAUUACCUCAUGCAAUUUGGAAGAUGCUUCUGAAGAAUCUGGUACUGCCCAAGAAAGCAGCCAGGAAGUUACUUUCCUAUGUGUUGAUGCUACUGCCCAAGAAAGCAGCCAGGAAGUUAAUUUCCUAUGUGUUGAUGGUGGCGCGCAAAUGGAACUAGAGCCAAAGGUUACAAAUUGCAAGUUGGAAGAUUCUUCUGAAGAGUCUGGUAUUGCCCAAGAAAGCAGCCAGGAUGUUAAGCCUGUAUGUGUUGAUGCUGCUGCUCAAACGGAACCAGAGCCAGAGGUUACAAAUUGCAAGUUGGAAGAUUCUUCUGAAGAAGAGUCUGGUAUUGCCCAAGAAAGCUCCCAAGAUGUUAAGCCUGUCUGUGUUGAUGCUGCUGUUCAAAUGGAACCAGAGACUACAAACUACAAAUUGGAAGGUGCUUCUGCAGAAGCUGGUAUCACUGGAGAAACUGUUCAUGAUGAUAACUUGGUGUAUGUCGGCGAGGCUGCUCAAGUGCAAUCAGGGGUUGACACAAGCGAGUUGGUAGACACUUCUGAGGAAUCUGGUAUUGCUCAUGAAAUUUGUGAAGAUGAUAACUCUGCAUAUGUCAGUGAUGAUGCUCAAAGUGAUUCUGGGAUCGCCACAUGCGAAUUGGGAGAAGAAUCUGCUAAUGUCCAGGAAGCUGAUCAGGAUCAGAACUGUACAGAUGUCAAUGGUGGUUUUACAAAUGAAUCCAUGCUUACCGCUUGUGAACUGGCAGAGGCUUCUGAAGCAUAUGAUAUUACCCAAGAAGCUAUUCAAGAUGACAACAUUUCAGAUGUCAAUGAUGGUGCUCAAAAGGAAUCGGAAAUUAUAGCAUGCGAAUCGGAACAUGCUUGUGAAGAAUCUCAUAUUAUCCAAGAAGGGGGUGAAGAUGUUAACGCUGCUUGUGAAGAAUCUGAUAUAAUCCAAGAAGGGGUGGAAGAUGAUAACACUGCUUGUGAAGAAUCUUAUAUUAUCCAAGAAGGGGGUGAAGAUGGUAGCACUCCUGGUGUCCGCACUGGUGCUCUAAAGGAACCAGAGAUCAUGGCAUCCGAAUUGGCAGAUGCUUGUGAAGAAGUUUGUAUUACCAAGGAGGCUAAUCUCUCACCCGUUGUCCAGAUACCUGAGCAUAACUAUGACCUGUCAGCAACUGACGGCUAUGGGGAGCCUCAGAACCUACCAGCAGAAGACACUGUUGCAAAAGAAUUUUCCAUUGACGACAUGUGCAACGUAUUCAGCGGGUUGAACCUCAAAGGCGACGUAUAUGUUGAUCCUACCGAGUCCGAGAUAUGUCCGAGAAACAGAAGGAUCGUUGCCGGGAGGAGGAGAACACCUGAAGAAGAUGAAUACAUGCGAGGCUUUAACCCAAGGGCACCGAAUUUUCUUCCUCUGGAAUCGGACCCGGAUGCAGAGAAGGUUGAUCUGAAGCAUCAGACGGCGGAAGACCGCAAGAAUGCCGAAGAGUGGAUGAUCGACUACGCGCUUCGGAGGGCGGUGAAUAAUCUCGGCCCUGCUCGGAAGAAGAAAGUGGAGCUUCUGGUCCAGGCCUUUGAGACUGUCCUACCGCAGGAUGAGAAGAAAAGCAUUUCACCUACAAGGCCUGCCCAAGCUUGCAACUGAUAAUUCUAGAGUUAGUGGUUGAACUAAUCGUGGAGUAUGUUGACGACUCGCGAGCUACUAACUCGGUGGUCACUGCAAUAUUAGUGCCAGAGACCCGCUCCAAGUUGGACGAGAAAUAACUACAGUACUUACUAGUCAGCAGAGAUCGAUCGCUCGCUCGCUAGAGAUCUCUCUCUGGUUAAGGUAACAUGGAGAGGGUAAACUACUCACUGAUGGAGAGUUUCCUGUCUAGUCUAGUUGCUGAGCUGCAAAGGAGUAGCUCAACAACCGAGCUGUGUGUGUGUAAAUAUAUGUGUGUCAUAGUCCUGAUGCUUGGUAUUUAUGUAUACUGAUGUUUGUGAGAGUUGCGAAAAAUAUCAAGGGCGCUGAGGUGCUGCAUUGACUUUGCCCUGAGAUCAAUCAAUAAAACUCUUCUCGACUGCAUGUUUGCUUUUUUUGAAACGGAGGCAAAAGCUUUGCCUCAUCCAUUAAUUAAGAAGGAAACGGACAAGAGUUUGCAACACUUAACUUUCCUUCAGUGGGACAACCGGGAGUCGAACUCCUCCCGCCAGGAUAGGCAGGUAGUCGACACAAACACUAGACCGAGUUCCCUUUGAUGACUGCAUGUUUGCUGUGAGAAAUGAUAGUUGUUGUAUAUGCACAGUGCUUGUGUUAUGUGCAAAUGCUUAGAAUCCUGUGUGAAUUCCCAUUUCAUUUCUAGUCCUGUAUGCAGUGCCUGAAGAAAUGCAUCAGCUGGCCAGAUCAGUUAAAUG